rnacentral:tRNA from 1 species
AAAAUUAGAGCUUGAUUUUAUAAAGCGUGCCAUUUACACUGGUGAGAUAGUUGUGAAAUUCAAUUUAUUUUG